rnacentral:rRNA from 1 species
AUGCCCAGGAAACUUCCUUCUUCAGUAUGUAUGGGGAUUUAUAUGACACCAAAAGAGAAGUCCGGCGUGUUUCUUGGUUCUAUGGAACCCCUCGACCGGAAGCAAAUAGAUCACAUCGCAAGUUGCUUGCCCAAUAUAAUCGUGCCGCAAGUUACCAACAUCGCGUGCUUAUACACCAUCGACUUUGCUGGAAAUCUAUCUGUCCGUGCUCCACCGUCUGUCGGAACUUCUUCUGCCCAUGCUACACCUGAGCUCAACACUGCAUCGCCCGGUUCGUUUGCUUGCUUCCUUUGCUUGGCUCAGGAAGGAGAAGGCCAGGACUAG